CAGCGCGCGCCGCGGACGCCCGCACCGCAGUGUCGAGCAGGAGCCCGCCAUGCCCGGCCCGCGCCUCUCCCGCGCCGCCUGACAGCAUGGCCCACCCGACCGCCACCAUCACACGCAGCCACGCUCUGACGACGGUUGGCGGCAGCGCAGGAGGCGGCGGGCGCGCAGGCUCGCGCGGCGCCAGCUGAUACCAUGGGCGGCGCGCACCAGCCCGCUACUCCGGGGCCCAGCUCGCUCUUUAUAUUUGCCGACGAAAAUCCUAUUCGGAGGUAUACAAAAUUCAUCAUCGAGUGGCCACCCUUCGAGUACGCGGUGCUGCUUACCAUCAUCGCCAACUGCGUGGUGCUGGCGCUGGAGGAGCAUUUGCCCAACGGCGAUAAGACCAUCUUAGCACAGAAUCUGGAAAAAACCGAGGCGUACUUUUUAGGAAUAUUUUGUGUAGAAGCCUCGUUAAAAAUAUUAGCAUUAGGUUUUGUUUUACACAGAGGAUCGUAUCUUAGGAACGUUUGGAACAUCAUGGAUUUUUUCGUUGUAAUCACUGGUAUCAUCACGCAGCUGCCGAUCGUGCCCGAAGUCGACUUCAGGACCUUGCGUGCCAUUAGGGUGCUGAGGCCCCUUAAAUUAGUAUCGGGCGUUCCUAGUCUGCAAGUGGUAUUGAAGUCCAUCAUCAAAGCGAUGGCCCCGCUGCUUCAGAUUGGCCUUUUGGUGCUUUUCGCGAUCGUCAUUUUCGCCAUUAUUGGCCUCGAGUUCUACUCAGGGGCGCUGCAUAAGACUUGUUAUACUUUAGAAGAUAUUAGUGAAAUAAUGAAUGAUGGUGAUAAUCCAACGCCAUGUAACGCGGACGACGAGAAUCUCGCGCCGUACGGGGCGAAUGUGUGCAAAUAUAACAAGAGCACAUGCCUCGAGAAGUGGGAAGGGCCGAAUCGAGGGAUCACGUCGUUCGAUAACAUCGGCUUCGCUAUGCUCACCGUCUUCCAGUGCAUCACCAUGGAGGGCUGGACCGCCAUCCUCUAUUGGACGAAUGACGCGUUAGGUAGUGCGUUCAACUGGAUUUACUUUGUGCCUCUCAUAGUAUUGGGUUCAUUCUUUAUGCUCAACUUAGUUCUCGGUGUCCUUAGCGGUGAAUUCGCUAAAGAAAGAGAGAAAGUAGAAAAUAGACAAGAAUAUCUUAAAUUAAGAAGACAACAGCUACUUGAGAAGGAACUUAAUGGUUAUGUUGAGUGGAUAUGUAAAGCCGAGGAAGUAAUAUUAGCUGAAGAAAGGACGACAGAAGAAGAAAAGAUGCACAUAAUAGAAGCACGAAGAAGAGCAGCAGCGAAGAAAAAGUUAAAAAAUCUUGGCAAGAGUAAAAGCACCGAUACAGAAGAGGAGGAACAGGAUGAAGACUGCGGAGAUGACGGUUUUCUAAAAAGCAAGUCACGAUCGGCUGGCAAAUGUGCGGACUUCUGGAGAGCGGAAAAGAGAUUUCGCUUCUGGAUCAGGCACACUGUGAAGACUCAGUGGUUCUAUUGGUUCGUCAUUGUCUUGGUGCUCUUCAACACUAUAUGCGUUGCUGUCGAGCAUUACAGACAACCUAAGUGGCUAACAUCAUUUUUAUACUAUGCUGAAUUUGUGUUCCUGUGUUUGUUCAUGAUGGAGAUGUGGGUGAAGAUGUACGCAUUGGGGCCGCGUAUAUAUUUUGAGUCCUCAUUCAACCGCUUUGACUGUGUGGUUAUAUCUGGCUCCAUCUUUGAAGUCGUCUGGUCAGAGGUUAAGGGCGGUUCCUUUGGUCUCUCUGUUCUUAGAGCCUUACGACUAUUAAGGAUAUUUAAGGUCACCAAAUACUGGUCUUCACUAAGAAAUCUGGUGAUAUCUCUCCUAAAUUCAAUGAGAUCCAUCAUUUCUCUGCUGUUCCUUCUGUUCUUGUUCAUCCUCAUAUUCGCCUUACUUGGUAUGCAGUUGUUUGGGGGACAGUUCAACUUCGAAGAUGGCACACCGCCAACUAAUUUCAACACCUUUCCUAUCGCGUUACUUACUGUCUUCCAGAUUCUAACAGGAGAAGAUUGGAACGAAGUGAUGUACGAUGGCAUCCAAUCUCAGGGCGGUAUACAGAGGGGCAUGAUCUACUCGCUAUACUUUGUCAUUCUCGUGUUGUUCGGGAACUAUACUCUACUGAACGUGUUCCUUGCCAUCGCUGUCGACAAUUUGGCUAAUGCCCAGGAGUUGACAGCGGCUGAAGAGGAACAAGAGGAGGAAGAUAAAGAAAAGCAGCUCCAAGAAUUGGAGAAAGAGAUGGGUGCGUUACACGCGGUGGACGGAACCCCACCGCGGGUAGACUUAAACCCUUCUUCGCCUGCGAGUAGGAAGAACAAAAAGAAAGAAGAGGCCAAAAAAGAAGACGAAGAGGAGAUACCAGAUGGACCAAAACCAAUGCUGCCAUAUUCGUCCAUGUUUAUUUUAUCACCUACGAAUCCAAUUAGGCGAGGUGCACACUGGGUUGUAAAUUUAAGAUAUUUUGAUUUUUUUAUUAUGAUAGUUAUAUGUAUGAGUUCUGCGGCUUUAGCAGCUGAAGACCCUGUAGUCGAAGAAAGUAGCAGGAACAAAAUCUUGAACUACUUCGACUACGCGUUUACGGGUGUAUUCACGGUGGAAAUGCUGCUGAAGAUCGUGGACUUGGGCAUCCUGUUCCACCCGGGCGCUUAUCUGCGCGACCUCUGGAAUAUCAUGGAUGCCGCUGUUGUAAUCUGCGCCCUCGUCAGCUUCGGUUUCGAGAUCGGAGGUGUCAGAAAAGGGGCGGGACAGAAUCUAUCCACAAUAAAAUCGUUAAGAGUGUUAAGAGUGCUCAGACCAUUAAAAACUAUAAAACGUGUUCCAAAGCUAAAAGCGGUGUUUGACUGUGUUGUGAACUCUUUGAAAAAUGUCAUCAACAUUCUCAUUGUGUAUAUAUUGUUUCAAUUCAUAUUCGCUGUAAUUGCAGUUCAACUUUUUAAUGGUAAAUUUUUUCACUGCAACGAUAUCAGUAAGAAUACUUAUGAAGACUGCCAAGGGUCGUAUUUCGUGUACGAGUCCAACAGCCUAUUGCCACACGUGAUGCCACGACAGUGGAAGACACAAAAUUUCCAUUACGACAAUGUGGCUGUCGCAAUGUUGACGCUGUUUGCGGUACAGACGGGGGAAGGGUGGCCACAAGUAUUACAGAAUUCAAUGGCCGCGACGUACGAAGACAGGGGACCCAUACAAAAUUUUCGAAUAGAAAUGUCCAUAUUUUAUAUCGUUUACUUUGUGGUGUUUCCUUUCUUCUUUGUUAACAUAUUCGUAGCUCUGAUAAUUAUCACAUUUCAAGAGCAGGGUGAAGCUGAAUUGCAAGAUGGUGAAAUUGAUAAAAAUCAGAAAUCAUGUAUAGACUUCACGAUAGAAGCACGUCCUCUAGAGAGGUAUAUGCCAAGCAAAAGGGCGAGUUUUAAGUACAAAGUGUGGAGAAUAGUCGUCUCUACGCCCUUCGAGUACUUCAUCAUGACCCUUAUCGUCCUCAACACAUUGUUGCUCAUGAUGAAGUACUAUAAUCAAAACGACCUCUACGCGGAUAUCCUCAAGUAUUCGAAUAUGGGUUUUACUGGAAUGUUUUCUGUGGAAACGGUGUUGAAAAUCAUCGCUUAUGGUGUCAAAAAUUUUUUCAAAGACCCAUGGAAUACAUUUGAUUUCAUAACGGUCAUUGGAAGUAUUAUUGACGCCCUCAUUAUGGAGUUUGGCGAGAACACUUUCAACGUUGGUUUCUUACGCCUGUUCCGAGCCGCGCGACUGAUCAAGCUGCUCAGGCAGGGCUACACCAUUCGAAUACUUCUCUGGACAUUCGUGCAGAGUUUCAAAGCCUUACCCUACGUGUGCCUUCUCAUCGCGAUGCUAUUCUUCAUCUACGCCAUCAUCGGGAUGCAGGUGUUUGGCAAUAUAGAUAUAACACCAGACUCAGAUAUGAACAGACACAACAAUUUUCGAAACUUCAUUCAAGCACUCAUGCUACUGUUCAGAUGCGCGACCGGAGAGUCUUGGCCCAAUAUCAUGUUGGCGUGCCUCAAGCCGGCCAAAUGUGACAAAGCCGCUGGAAAGCCAGCCAACGAAAUGUGCGGCAGCACCCUCGCCUAUGCCUACUUCGUAUCAUUUAUAUUCUUCUGUUCGUUCCUUAUGUUGAAUCUGUUCGUCGCCGUCAUUAUGGAUAACUUCGAUUAUCUGACGAGGGACUCGUCCAUCCUCGGAGCUCAUCACCUUGAUGAAUUUGUUAGAAUAUGGGCAGAAUAUGAUCCAAACGCAACAGGGAAGAUUCAUUAUACAGAAAUGUACGAUAUGUUGAAAAAUAUGGAUCCACCGCUGGGGUUUGGCAAUAAGUGUCCAAAUAGACUAGCGUUUAAAAAGUUAAUUAGAAUGAAUAUGCCCCUAGACGACGAGGGGAAAGUUAAUUUUACAACAACACUAUUUGCCUUAAUUCGGGAAAACCUGAACAUCAAGAUGAGAUCUGCCGAAGAAAUGGACCAAGCAGACGAGGAACUGAGGGAAACUAUUACCCACAUAUGGCCUCUCCAAGCGAAGAAGAUGUUAGACUUGCUGGUGCCUCGAAACGACGUACUCAAUACUGGAAAACUGACCGUCGGAAAGAUAUAUGCGGGUUUGCUUAUCUUGGAGAAUUGGAGAACGACAAGGUUUGGCCGGGAUAAACCACAAGGCGUUUCGGUAUCCGAACUGCAAGGUUCGCAACAUGCCUCAAUGGAAUCCUUGGACGAGGGUCGGUUACAACCUCACGUAUACCAGAACGGUCACCACGGAAGAUCGUCUAGUUUAAGUGCCGUCGACGAAGCGAUUGAUCUCAAAGUAAUCGUAGUAAGAAAUGACGGACACCGAGCCCAAGGAGACGGCAUUACGGAGGCUACCAUCAUGACAUCGGCUUCUCGGACACUGUCAGUAACGUCGUUGAAAUAGUCAAACACGAACAUCACAGACACGGGCGAACGCAUCGUGCGCCCCACCACUACCACCCACAUGGUGGCGAGCGAGAGCGGGACCGAGACCGGGACCGAGAACGGGACCGCGAGUGGCGGGAGUGGCGAGACCGGUCGUGGGAGCGCGAGGGCGGUAGACGCGGCCGCGGCCGCCAACUGCCGCCUACACCUACCAAGCCG
rnacentral:misc_RNA from 1 species